CUAAGUAUCUUCAAGACUUCAUAUCAACAAGCACCUGAACAGGUUCACAAGCAUAUUGACUAAUAGCCCAAGGAAAAGAGGAGAAGCAGUUAGGGGAGCCAAUGUAUGAAGGAUAUCCCCCUAUGCAGGAGAAGCUGGUUGGCCCCUGCUCAAGCAGGGUGAGCGUUGGACGAUAUGAUGGAUUCCCAACUGGACACCACAGUCGUGGGCUGGUGCUGACAGCACUGGUCAUUUCUGAAGUGAGGCACUUGUUUGCGUACAUACAUCUCCACGACAUAAUUACAUCUGGUGAGCAGCCCUGCUACUUGACACCAGCCUAUGCAAUCAGGCCCGCACAGGCGAUCAGUAUCCCUGGGGAAUGAGUUAAGCAAGCUCAAAGCGUUUUCCACAUCGGUCUCAAGCUCUUCAGUAGUUGUUAGCGAUUCAAGACCACUUGCAUGUUAAUAAAAUCAAUAAUUUAGAUAUGCUCAAGAAGUAAUCGCUUUACAUUAUUUAAAUGAGCUCUAUACAAACAUGUUUUGACAUCCUGAUUUGUUAUUUUCAGAAACGAGAGUGACUAACUUAGUAGCCACUUACUGUUUUAAAAACAGGCAAUGGAUCAGGGGAGGAGAAAAGCGAGCGGUUAUGGUAGAUGGCUUUGGAAUGCAAAGACGAGGGUCCCUCAGCACCUGCUUUCAAGAUGCCCUGACUUCUCAGUCCGCAGUAACUGGGGGAAGAAACCGGCAGCUUGUCAGGGAGGGUUUAUCAACAACCUGACAGGUCCGCCAGCAAAUCCUUUAAAAGUACAACUGUACAAACUACGAUACAAGUUCUUAGUGUGAGAGUCAUCCCAGGUCGAUGGGCUCUCUUCACAGCGUAGCACGCAGCACACAGUAGGCGUGCUGUCCCUUCUCCCCACGAGGCUGCCUCCGUGGCACAUCACAGGGACACCGCAGUGGUGGCGAGGAGGGGGAUGUUCACAGAUGCUGAGGUAGGUGACUUUCCAAUGGAGAUCUUCUACACCCGGAUCUGGUCUGGACUAGCUUCCUUGUGCGUUCUCCUCCUGGGGAAUAUCUUCCUCUU
rnacentral:lncRNA from 1 species